rnacentral:rRNA from 1 species
GAUGAACGCUGGCGGCGUGCUUAACACAUGCAAGUCGAACGAAGCACCUUGAUUCGAUUCUUCGGAUGAAGAUCUUGGUGACUGAGUGGCGGACGGGUGAGUAACGCGUGGGUAACCUGCCUCAUACAGGGGGAUAACAGUUAGAAAUGACUGCUAAUACCGCAUAAGACCACAGCACCGCAUGGUGCAGGGGUAAAAACUCCGGUGGUAUGAGAUGGACCCGCGUCUGAUUAGGUAGUUGGUGGGGUAACGGCCUACCAAGCCGACGAUCAGUAGCCGACCUGAGAGGGUGACCGGCCACAUUGGGACUGAGACACGGCCCAAACUCCUACGAGAGGCAGCAGUGGGGAAUAUUGCACAAUGGGGGAAACCCUGAUGCAGCGACGCCGCGUGAGCGAUGAAGUAUUUCGGUAUGUAAAGCUCUAUCAGCAGGGAAGAAAAUGACGGUACCUGACUAAGAAGCACCGGCUAAAUACGUG